rnacentral:rRNA from 1 species
GAGUUUGAUCAUGGCUCAGAUUGAACGCUGGCGGCAGGCCUAACACAUGCAAGUCGGGCGGUAGAGAGAAGCUUGCUUCUCUUGAGAGCGGCGGACGGGUGAGUAAUGCCUAGGAAUCUGCCUGGUAGUGGGGGAUAACGCUCGGAAACGGACGCUAAUACCGCAUACGUCCUACGGGAGAAAGCAGGGGACCUUCGGGCCUUGCGCUAUCAGAUGAGCCUAGGUCGGAUUAGCUAGUUGGUGAGGUAAUGGCUCACCAAGGCGACGAUCCGUAACUGGUCUGAGAGGAUGAUCAGUCACACUGGAACUGAGACACGGUCCAGACUCCUACGGGAGGCAGCAGUGGGGAAUAUUGGACAAUGGGCGAAAGCCUGAUCCGGCCAUGCCGCGUGUGUGAAGAAGGUCUUCGGAUUGUAAAGCACUUUAAGUUGGGAGGAAGGGCAGUAAAUUAAUACUUUGCUGUUUUGACGUUACCGACAGAAUAAGCACCGGCUAACUCUGUGCCAGCCGCCGACCG